UACGAAGGGUGCAAGCGUUACUCGGAGUUACUGGGCGUAAAGGGUGCGUAGGUGGUUUGUUAAGUCUGCUGUGAAAUCCCCGGGCUCAACCUGGGAAUGGCAGUGGAUACUGGCAAGCUGGAGUGCGGUAGAGGGUAGUGGAAUUCCCGGUGUAGCAGUGAAAUGCGUAGAGAUCGGGAGGAACACCAGUGGCGAAGGCGGCUACCUGGACCAGCACUGACACUGAGGCACGAAAGCGUGGGGAGCAAACAGG
rnacentral:rRNA from 1 species